GCUGCGCUGCGCUGCGCUGCCCGGGGCGGCGGCGCCCCCCCCCCGGCCCGCACCUCGCUCGAUGUUGGCGAUGGCGCGGCGCAGGUGCUCCUCGGUGACCAGCUCGCCGACGACCACCAGCAGCGAACUUCCAACAAAGGCCUUCUGCACAUGUUGCAGGCCCGUGGACCUGUGACUCAUCCCAGGAGAGCCGUGCUUCUGGAUGGGCUGCGGAAACCCAUGGUCUUCGGGCUCCAGAAAUGCAAAGCUGUUUGGGUACCUGCUUCUGCCUGGGCCCGAGUGACCCCAGGGACCAACCGUUUCAGAAAACAUCUACAGUUACCAAAACAAAGGCUGGAUUCCUCUUGAUUGCCAUCUAGAAGUUAGACAUCUGCUCUCUGAUACCAAGGCCCACUCAAGAGAGAAAUGCAAUCACCUCCUAAAUGUGUUUUAUCCUCCCCUAAAAUGGGAUAAAGCAGUCUGAGAUAAAUCAGCCUCUCAGAGAUGUUCCUCUCACUUCACUGACAGAAGCCAGGCACUGGCUUACACUAAGCAUCUUAUUCAUGUGGCUACAGUAAGGUGGGAGAAAUCUCACUGUGACCUAGGAAAGGAUAUAAACUUUUAUUACCUGGUUUAUGAGAUAACCUCUGGCCCCUGACUGCAAAGACGCUUCCUUUGUGGGCAGCCCCUUCCAUUACCCACCUUUCAGGUUCCCUGCCUGUUCCUCCAAAACACUGCCUGCUCUCAGACACAAGUGCUUGCCUGGGUAGACUAAUACAGCAGACCUGUUUUCUUAGACUGUGCACCUUGUUUUAUGGGGCGCUGGGCCCAUUCUAACUAAAGCGCAUUUCAGACUAUCCCUACCAAGUUAUUUGUUAUCGCUACUGAGUUACUUGUCUUACAAGAGAGUGCUUAGAGGCAUGCACAGAUUGAAACACCAUUGCUGUAGGUGUUUGUCCCUAACAUUGUAUCUGCCAAUAGCACCUGCUGUUUUUAAUGUAAAUAGUUCCUCCAAAUAAAUACACCACGGAGAGCAAGGCCUUGGCUAAUGCGAUGUGAUGUGUUUGGAUGCUGCAUCCAAACCAGACUAUUUUUCUGAGCUGUUGUUCCACUGAAGUUUAUAGGCUGUAGACAAGCAUUUUUACAGCCAUGUCAGGUAACUGUGAUGACACAGUGAUAAAGAGCAACGGUGCUCAUUCGUCACCAGAGCUGACACUGCUGAUAGAACAAAUGCAACUGCAUAGAUGCAAAAGAACUAGUAGCAGGUUUCCUAGACUUGGCAAGGUAUUCACGGGUACAGAGCGUUGCUUUUAGGAGACUCAUGUUCUACUGAGCAUGACUGUGACUUUUGCAUUUUCUUGCUGAGCCUGGCAGUUUCCAUGACGUUGUUCAGAUGGGCCCAAAUUAAUAUGGGUGCCAAUGCCUACCUAGAAAUAAUGUCCACUCCCCUGUGGCCAUGUCCUAUACGACACCUCCCCCCAGCAGUCUGUAUUAUAAUUAUAGAUAUCCUCAAGACUCGCUGGUUGGAGGAAGCCAACUUUCAAAGUAUUCUCCCACUGCAAUACAUAGCUCUGGGAUAUGCAUUUAUUUCAGUCACCAGCAAGCAUCUGGUCUCUGGAGUGUGGAAGCGGCUCUCCAAGGCGAUUUGCUAACUGGUUGCAAAAUAGAGAUAUAAAGGUAAAACAUUUACUUGCCUCACAACCACAGCAGGUUAAAUACAUUACUCCAAGAAAUGCAUGUCAGUAUACAGAAUGCAUUGUAUGUGCUUUGUAGCACUUUAUUUUAAGAAAAAAUGAAAACAUAUAUAACUGUGGAAAAAUGCCUGUGGAUUUGAAAAGGUGAAAUGAAUAAGCUGUGUCAAAGGAAAAAGUCCUUGCAUACAGGUAAUGUACAGAUAUACUUAGCCUUAGAUAUAAUAGCCUGCUGAAGUAGUCCUCUAUUUUGUAUCGUGCUGUGAAAGAACAUGCAGCUAGAAGAAGGUAUGAUAGAAGGUGAACUGUUACAGUAAACUGUGUUGUGGGGGGAGAUGUUUCCCACAUUAGACCCCUAAGGACAAGAGGCUGCCUUUGGAAGAAAAUGGUCUUGUACUCAACUCUUCAAGGGAUGCAGACCUCUGCCCUCAGGUAUUCACAAGCAUAUGCUGCUUCAUCUGAGAUGGAAGUCAGACAAGAAAAGGUGCUUUAACUUCACGGAUAUGUCUCUAAGGAGGCUGCAGAUUCCCAGCUCCGUGGUCAGCAUUCACACUAACUUGCCCUGGUAGAGUCUCACUAAAGUAGUUUUGUUUAUCAUCAUCUGAAAACCCAUUUACAUUCUGCAAUAUGGAGCAUAUCACCAGAUCCUCUGCGAGAUGAAAUGUGGAGAUGUGCUGUAUAAAGCUGACUCAGUGUCAUGUGACUCUCAAUGUCUGAAAGUGAUAUCAGCUUGCUAGCUGCAGCAAAAUCACAUAGCUAUACCACUUCUGUAGAAGAAAUAACAACAUUCAUGCAGACUAUGGAGUAAGUCUUGCUCUUUUAAAGAGACAGUGAUUGAUAUCCACUGCCAUCUGGGUUUUUGUUUUGUUUUAGUUUUGUUCUUUUAGCAAGUUUAAUACCAAACUGGUAUCCCACAGCUGAAUGCAGGCAAACAUUACAUAUACAGCUGUAUUUUUCUUGUGGAUAUGGCAUUUUCUAAACUAAACAGGCAGUUUUAAAUAAAGUGCUUGAAGUCUAAAACUACAACAUA